GACGAACGCUGGCGGCGCGCCUAAUACAUGCAAGUCGAGCGAGAAGACGUAGCAAUACGUUUGUAAAGCGGCGAACGGGUGAGGAAUACAUGGGUAACCUACCCUCGAGUGGGGAAUAACUAGCCGAAAGGUUAGCUAAUACCGCGUACGCUUCUUGGACUUCGGUUCAGGGAGGAAAGCGAUGCCGAGGGUAUCGCGCUCUUGGAUGGGGCUCAUGUCCUAUCAGCUUGUUGGUGAGGUAACGGCUCACCAAGGCUUCGACGGGUAGCUGGUCUGAGAGGACGAUCAGCCACACUGGCACUGCGACACGGGCCAGACUCCUACGGGAGCAGCAGUAAGGAAUAUUGCGCAAUGGGCGAAAGCCUGACGCAGCGA
rnacentral:rRNA from 1 species